GUCUACAGCCAUACCACCCUGAAUGUGCCCAAUCUCAUCUGAUCUCGGAAGCUAAGUGGGGUCAGGCCUGGUUAAUACUUGGAUGGGAGAAGGAAACCUUAUCCCCAAGCUC
rnacentral:rRNA from 1 species